rnacentral:rRNA from 1 species
UGAGGAAUAUUGCGCAAUGGGCGAAAGCCUGACGCAGCAACGCCGCGUGGAUGAUGAAGUUCUUCGGAAUGUAAAAUCCUUUUGCAGGGGACGAAUAUGCUGGCUUGCCAGUACUGACGGUACCUUGCGAAUAAGCCACGGCUAACUCUGUGCCAGCAGCCGCGGUGAUACAGGGGUGGCAAGCGUUGUCCGGAUUUACUGGGUGCAAAGGGUGCGCAGGCGGAUGGGUAAGUCAGGGGUGAAAGUCUGCAGCUUAACUGUAGAAUUGCCUUUGAUACUGCUCAUCUUGAGUGUGGGAGAGGUUGAUGGAAUUCCAGGUGUAGCAGUGAAAUGCGUAGAUAUCUGGAAGAACACCAGUGGCGAAGGCGGUCAACUGACCCAUAACUGACGCUCAUGCACGAAAGCGUGGGGAGCAAACA